GUGCUGUGAUGACGAUCUUAGGACACCUUUGGAGGUCAAAGGCCUGUGAAACCAACAUUGCUCUGAGCAUG